rnacentral:rRNA from 1 species
UACCAGCACCCCGAGUGGUCGGGACGUUUAUUGGGCGUAAAGAGCUCGUAGGCGGUCAGUCGCGUCUGCUGUGAAAACUCGGGGCUUAACUCUGGGCCUGCAGUGGGUACGGGCUGACUAGAGUGCGGUAGGGGAGACUGGAAUUCCUGGUGUAGCGGUGAAAUGCGCAGAUAUCAGGAGGAACACCGGUGGCGAAGGCGGGUCUCUGGGCCGUAACUGACGCUGAGGAGCGAAAGCGUGGGGAGCGAACAGG